rnacentral:rRNA from 1 species
AUUGAACGCUGGCGGAAUGCUUUACACAUGCAAGUCGAACGGCAGCACGGGAGCUUGCUCCUGGUGGCGAGUGGCGAACGGGUGAGUAACAUAUCGGAACGUACCCAGUCGUGGGGGAUAACUAUCCGAAAGGAUAGCUAAUACCGCAUACGUCCUGAGGGAGAAAGCGGGGGAUCGCAAGACCUCGCGCGAUUGGAGCGGCCGAUAUCGGAUUAGCUAGUUGGUGGGGUAAGGGCUCACCAAGGCGACGAUCCGUAGCGGGUCUGAGAGGACGACCCGCCACACUGGAACUGAGACACGGUCCAGACUCCUACGGGAGGCAGCAGUGGGGAAUUUUGGACAAUGGGGGCAACCCUGAUCCAGCCAUUCCGCGUGAGUGAAGAAGGCCUUCGGGUUGUAAAGCUCUUUCAGCAGGAACGAAACGGUCGGCUUUAAUAAAGUCGGCUAAUGACGGUACCUGCAGAAGAAGCACCGGCUAACUACGUG